GAUCAAAUCAAGCGCGAGAAGGGCGUUUGGUGGAUGCCUUGGCAGUAAGAGGCGAUGAAGGACGUGAUACUCUGCGAUAAGUCCUGGGGAGCUGAGAAUAAGCUUUGAUCCAGGAAUUUCCGAAUGGGGAAACCCACCUGACAGUUUGUUAUAAUUACUUCGGUAAUUUAUAACAUGCUGAACCAGGUAUUUAUGACCUGAAUACAUAGGGUUAUAAAGGCAAACCCGGGGAACUGAAACAUCUAAGUACCCGGAGGAAAGGAAAUCAACAGAUACUCCGCUAGUAGUGGCGAGCGAACGCGGAUCAGCCGAACCAUGAGAAUGACCAGAAUGUGUUGGAAAGCACAGCCAUAGUGGGUGAUAGCCCCGUAUGGGAAGUUCAAUUGGACGUAUUAAGUAGGGCGGGACACGUGAAAUCCUGUCUGAAGAUCGGGGGACCACCCUCGAAGGCUAAGUACUCCUUACUGACCGAUAGCGAACCAGUACCGUGAGGGAAAGGUGAAAAGCACCCCGACGAGGGGAGUGAAACAGUUUCUGAAACCGGACGCCUACAAGCAGUCGGAGGAGCCUUGAGCUCUGACGGCGUACCUUUUGUAUAAUGGGUCAACGACUUGGUCUAUCGAGCAAGCUUAAGCCGUUAGGUGUAGGCGCAGCGAAAGCGAGUCUUAAAAGGGCGACUAAGUUCGAUGGAUCAGACCCGAAACCGAGUGAUCUAGCCAUGUGCAGGCUGAAGGUGAGGUAACACUCACUGGAGGGCCGAACCCACACCUGUUGAAAAAGGUCGGGAUGACGUGUGGCUAGGGGUGAAAGGCCAAUCAAACUCGGAAAUAGCUGGUUCUCCGCGAAAUCUAUUUAGGUAGAGCGUCGAUUGUAUUCUCCCGGGGGUAGAGCACUGCAUGGAUGAUGGGGGCCCACAGCCUUACUGAGUCUAAGCAAACUCCGAAUACCGGGAAGAACUGAUCGGCAGACACACGGCGGGUGCUAACGUCCGUCGUGGAGAGGGAAACAACCCUGACCAACAGCUAAGGCCCCCAAUUCGUGGCUAAGUGGGAAAGCAUGUGGGACGACCAAAACAACCAGGAGGUUGGCUUAGAAGCAGCCAUCCUUUAAAGAUAGCGUAACAGCUCACUGGUCUAGAUAAGUUGUCCUGCGGCGAAGAUGUAACGGGGCUCAAGCCACGAGCCGAAGCUUUGGAUGCGCAGUGAUGCGCGUGGUAGCGGAGCGUUCUGUGAUAUAGAACGCUGCCUCCUUAGUAUCCUCGGAUACAUUGGAGGCAAUGUUCUGACUGUGAAGCCGGGCCGUAAGGCAGCCGGUGGAGUGAUCAGAAGUGAGAAUGUUGACAUGAGUAGCGACAAACAGGG
rnacentral:rRNA from 1 species